GCAAGAUUAAAACUCAAAGGAAUAGACGGGGACCCGCACAAGUGGUGGAGCAUGUGGUUUAAUUCGAAGAUACGCGAAGAACCUUACCUAGCCUUGACAUUGAUAGAAUCUUCCAGAGAUGGAGGAGUGCCUUUCGGGGAACUUGAAAACAGGUGCUGCACGGCUGUCGUCAGCUCGUGUCGUGAGAUGUUGGGUUAAGUCCCGCAACGAGCGCAACCCUCGUCACUAGUUACUAACAGUUAGGCUGAGGACUCUAGUGAGACUGCCUUCGUAAGGAGGAGGAAGGUGAGGACGACGUCAAGUCAUCAUGGCCCUUACGGCUAGGGCAACACACGUGCUACAAUGGUUAGGACAGUGAGAAGCGAUACCGCGAGGUGGAGCCAAUCUAUAAACCUAAUCUCAGUUCGGAUUGUAGUCUGCAACUCGACUACAUGAAGCUGGAAUCACUAGUAAUCGUAGAUCAACUAUGCUACGGUGAAUACGUUCCCGGGUCUUGUACUCACCGCCCGUCACACCAUGGGAGUUGAUUUCACCCGAAGCGGGGAAGCUAAACUGGCUACCCUCCACGGUGGAAUUAGCGACUGGGGUGAAGUCGUAACAAGGUA
rnacentral:rRNA from 1 species